UUUUUUUUGAUUAUUAAUUUUAUAUUUUUAUUAAAUUAUUAGAUUUUUAGUGUUUAUUUUUAAAUAAUUUUUUUUUUAUAGUUAAUUAGUAAAGUAAUUGAAUUUUUAUAAAAGUUAUAAAGAAGAAUUUAUUGUUUGUACCUUUUGUAUCAGGGUUUAUUAAAAAGAUAUUAUUUAUUUAAUUUUCUCGAAUUGGAAAGAUUUAAUUUAUUAUAAAUUUAAUUGUUGUAUAAGUUUUUAUAAUAAUAGAUUAGAAAUGAAACGUUAUUCGUUUUUUAAUAUAUCUAGUUUUUUAAGAAAUAAAUUUAAUUUGAUUUUUAAAUAAUAAUUAACUUUUUUUUAGUUAGAUUUUUAUUUAAAAUUUAAAAUUCAAUGGGAUAAGCUUUUGAAUUUUAAUCUAAAAAUGAUAUAAUAUUUUAUUUUAAGUAUGAUUAGAAUUUUCAAUCUUUUAAAGGAUGUAAAAAUUUAUUUUAAUUAAAUUUAUUGAUUUUUAUGUUUUUUAGAUUUUUUAUUAAAACUUUUUUUUUAAUUUUAUUGAUAUUUGAUAAUGAUUAAAUUAGUAUAUUUAUAAUGUGUGAAUAAUAUUUUUUGUUAGGUUUUGUAAAAGAACUAGGCAAAUAAUUUCUUUCGCCUGUUUAAUAAAAACAUGUCUUUUUGAUAAUGAUUUAAGGUCUGGUCUGCCCACUGAUUAAUUUAAGGGCUGCAGUAUUUUGACUGUACAAAGGUAGCGUGAUAAUUAGUUUUUUAAUUGAAAGCUGGUAUGAAUGAUUGGACGAGAAGAUUUCUGUUUCUAUAAAAUUUUAAUUUGAAUUUAAUUUUUAAGUUAAAAAGCUUAAAUGAUUAAAUAGGACGAGAAGACCCUAUAGAGUUUAACAUUUUUUUGCUAUUUGAUAUUUUUAGUUAAUGAAUUAUGUUGAAUUGUCUAUUUAAUGUUUAAUUGGGGUGAUUGAAAGAUUUACUAAACUCUUUUUUUUACAUACAUUGAUUUUUGGUUAUUUGAUUAAUAUUAAUUAUUCUAAGAUAAAAUUACCUUAGGGAUAACAGCAUGAUUUCUUUUAAAGUUCUUAUUGAAUGAGGAGAUUGUGACCUCGAUGUUGGAUUAAAAUUUAACUUUGGUGAAGAAGCUUUAGUUUUAAGUCUGUUCGACUUUUAAAAUUUUACAUGAUCUGAGUUUAAACCGGUGUGAGCCAGGUUGGUUUCUAUCCUUUUAUAAAUUUUAUAUUUUAGUACGAAAGGACCAAAUAUAUAAUAUAUUAUUUAAUUUUUAGUAAAUUUAA
rnacentral:rRNA from 1 species